GACGUAGGGCGCGAGCGUUGUCCGGAUUUAUUGGGCGUAAAGAGCGUGUAGGCGGCCAGAAAAGUCCGCUGUGAAAACUCGAGGCUCAACUUCGAGCUGUCGGUGGAAACUUUCUGGCUAGAGUCCGGAAGAGGAGAAUGGAAUUCCUGGUGUAGCGGUGAAAUGCGCAGAUAUCAGGAGGAACACCGGUGGCGAAGGCGGUUCUCUGGGCAUGAUCUGACGCUGAGGAGCGAAAGUGUGGGGAGCGAACAGG
rnacentral:rRNA from 1 species